AACGAACGCUGGCGGCAGGCUUAACACAUGCAAGUCGAACGGACGUAGCAAUACGUUAGUGGCAGACGGGUGAGUAACGCGUGGGAAUGUGCCCUUUAGUUCGGAAUAACACAGAGACAUUUGUGCUAAUACCGGAUAAGCCAGAGAGGGGAAAGAUUUAUCGCUGAAGGAGCAGCCCGCGUCUGAUUAGCUAGUUGGUGAGGUAAUGGCUCACCAAGGCGACGAUCAGGAGCUGGUCUGAGAGGAUGAUCAGCCACACUGUGACUGAGACACGGCCCAGACUCCUACGGGAGGCAGCAGUGGGGAAUAUUGGACAAUGGGGGCAACCCUGAUCCAGCCAUGCCGCGUGAGUGAUGAAGGCCUUAGGGUUGUAAAACUCUUUUGUCCGGGAAGAUAAUGACUGUACCGGAAGAAUAAGCCCCGGCUAACUUCGUGCCAGCCGCCGCCGUAAAAC
rnacentral:rRNA from 1 species